CGAAACAAGGAUAAGUUACCCGAUAGCAUGAAAAUGUACUCCGAUGAAACACCCAAUCAGCGCAAACAAUUACAAGAUCUAAAAUCUGAGCUAACUCGGAGACAAAACGAUGGCGAAAAGGACCUUACUAUAAAAUACAUAAAGGGCAUACCGAGAAUCGUAAAUACUACUCAAAAAAACUAAUAAGUAAUAAUGACCCUACCAAUAAUAGUACAACAUACCAGAUAAUUAGUAACUACGCAGACCUACAUCCCACAAAAUCUUGUCUUAACUUUUUAUAUUUAAAUGCACGGAGCAUCUGUAACAAGUUUGAUGAGCUUAAAUGUAUACUAAGAUCCAUCUCAACCACAACGCAUAUAAUAUUACUGACCGAGUCCUGGAUAAAAUCCGAAGAACAUGCGCAAAGAUUCCGCCUGCCAAAUUAUACCCAUUACUGCAAUUGUCGCGACGAUAGGACAGGUGGUGGAGUGUCGGCAUUCGUCCACAAUGACUUGAAACAUAGUUUGUUAGAGUCUACUUACGAUGGAGAAAAUAAUUACUUAUGGCUGAAACUUGAGAAGUAUUCACUCAACAUUGGUCUUAUUUAUAAUCCUGGUGACACAAAUUUUGAAAAAUUCAUUUACACUCUUGAGGCACAACUGCACCAAAGGAAACGAAUUCUUCUUUUCGGAGAUUUUAAUAUUGAUCUUUUAACAAGAACCAAGCAGAAACAAAGCUAUAUAAAUUGCCUAAAUGCAGCAGGUUGCAAAAUAUUGAAUAAAAACAAUAAAAAAUACUACACAAGGAGUGAUACCACAAGGAAAUCAAUAUUAGAUCAUGUCAAUACCAGUUUGAAGAACGACAACUACCACAUGGCACUGAUUGAAACCUCAUUUUCCGACCACAGACAAAUCCACCUCGCGCUUAAGAAAUACAAACCGCCUCGCAAACAACGCGUUAGUUAUAAAGCGCUAAAUUACGAACAACUCUAUCAAGAGGCUGAAAAUGCUAAAGCAGAGGAAAACGAUAACUUUGAAAUAUUUGAACGAAAACUUAAAAAACAAAUCGAUCAUAGUUUAAUAACAAAAACGAAAAUUUUAAACUUACCACAAAAAGACUGGGUGCAGCGAGAUAUUAUCAAUGGAAUCAAUCGGAGGAACGAGCUAUGGGCUAAACUUCAAGAACACCCUGAUAAUGAUGCUCUAGAAAACCAAUUCAAGACAGAGAAACACGCAGUAGCCCAUCUGAUCAAAGAGGCAAAAGACUCCUAUUAUUACAACCAGUUCAAGAAAUGCAGCACCAAACCCAAGAAGAUGUGGAAUCUUAUUAACGAUCUCUCUAACAACAAAGUCAAAACUAGCUGUGCUCUCCCUAGGCUCAUACAUGACUCAAAAGAUAUUAUAGACCCCCUUUUGAUUUGCAAUACUUUCAAUGACUACUUUUCAUCUAUAGGGUCAUUAUUAGCUAAAAAAAUCCCGUCCCAUUUUCACAACAUCGAUACUACAGCAUCACAACAUAGUUUCAAAAACUGCACAAAUCUACUAACAGACUUUAUACCUACUACUGAUAGUGAAGUAUCAAAAAUAAUAGAUAACUUAGACCCUAAUUCAAGUAAUGGCUUAGAUGGCAUAAGUACUAAAGCCAUCAAAUGUUUGAAAACUUUGAUAGUCCCAGAGUUAACUAAAUGCAUUAAUGCAGCUCUUAUACGGGGAGAAUUUCCCGAUUCACUUAAAAUCGCAAAAGUCUCUCCUAUCUACAAAUCUGGCAUAAAAACCGACCCAGGCAAUUAUAGGCCGAUCUCAAUUCUCCCAAUACUCUCAAAAAUUCUUGAAUAUAUUCUUCACGAACGCUUGGAAACCUUCUUAACUAAGAUCAAUUACAUAACAGAACGACAAUUUGGCUUCAGGUCUAAAAGCAAUACCCUAGCCGCGACCGUAGAUUUAAUCACCAAGAUUAGACAAAACAUCGACGGUAAGAAAAUAGUUUUGGGAAUCUUUAUCGACCUAAAAAAAGCGUUCGACACUGUGAGUCAUAACAAACUUAUACAAAAACUUAGCCUAACUGGGAUAAAAGGUACUGCGCUAAAAAUGUUUGAGUCUUACUUCAAGAAUAGGCAGCAAAUAGUAAAAAUCAACGAACAUGUAAGUGAACCUCGUCCUAUAUCUUUUGGGGUCCCACAAGGUUCGAUCUUAGGCCCUCUGUUAUUUUCGGUCUAUAUCAAUGAUGUCACUGAUUUAGGAUUACAGGGACACAUCACUCUAUAUGCUGAUGAUACGUGCCUAUUCUACUUUGGUUCGUCUAUACGUGAUAUUAUUAAUUCAGCACAAAAGGAUUUGGACACUCUCUACUAUUGGUUGCAAUCAAACUUGUUAACUAUCAACAUCUCUAAAACGUCAUAUGUUAUAUUUAAAGCGAAAAACAAGCCCGUACCUACAUAUCCACCCUUAACUAUUAAUAACGAUCCAAUACAAGAGAAACGCGGUGAAAAGUACUUAGGACUUCAUAUUGAUAGUCAGCUAACAUGGAAGCUACACAUUGACUACCUCAAAAAAAAGCUGUCGUCACUAAUGGGUUCUUUGCGUGGCAUAGUACGCUGCCUACCCCGAAAAGUGCGGAUGACCAUUUAUAACUCAUUAGUUAAAUCACACCUGUUAUAUCUCAUUGAAAUAUGGGGUACUGCAAGCAAAACCAGUCUCUCUGACUUGCAGGUCAUCCAAAACAAAUUAAUAAAAAUGUUAUUUCACUAUCACUACUUAACACCAACAACUACUAUAUACACACAAACUAACCUAAUGAAUUUAAAACAGUUAUACACCCACUGCACAUGUAUCCUCAUAAGAAAAAUACUAUGUAAAACAAUCCACACAUCACUUUCACUUACCCAAAACAAACAAGUGUCUAAACGCUCCACAAGACGGGCUAGCUACGUCAUUCUACCUAAAAUCCGGACAAACUAUGGCAAACGGAUGAUAACUUACGAGGGCGCACAACUUUUUAACAACUUACCUUCACAUAUAAAAAAUAUCGAAUCAUUAAAUGAUUUUAAACGUAAAUUAGCUCAAUAUAUUAUAAUUAAAUAUCAACCAUAACUUGUUUUUGGAGGGAUCGUGAUGGGAAUGUAAUUUAAUUUAAUGUGAAAUAAAUUAAGUGUGGAACGCCAUCUAAACGGGUGUGAAAUAGAUAGACUCAUGAGACCCUCACUGAUGUUGCUGGGAGCUAUGAAUGCUGACUACGUGCAGCAAAGACGGAGGCUUAGAGACGAGAAACUUAUGACAACAAUCCUCAGU